UGAAGCAGAGCUGCAGAUUGUGUUCGAUCAGAAAACUCGCUCUGCAGUACUCCCACAGAACAGUGUCGUUGCUCAAACCUUAGUAGAGGCUGUGAGUAAUACCAACAACAGCUUCAAUGUGACCAUAAAUCCCAAGAAAGUCAAAAUAAUAGCAGGUCCAGUUCCAUCUACAACUACCACAUCUACAAAUGCUGCACCAAUCAACGUGAAUGGCACCCAAUCAAGUGGAGUGAGCCACAAGAUCAGUCUCGUUACUGCAUCCUGCCUGGUAUUGUUGUCAUGGAUACUAUCAAGCCAGCAAUAGAAUCAGUGCUGAUUACCAUUUGAAUUGCCAGCAGACUAUGACUGCCAUUACUGGUAUGAACAAGCACUUUGUUGUCGGUAAAAAUCCAAGAUUCAUGAUGGUCUUUGCUCUUGUAUGUAGAGUGACACAGCCAACUUUAAGCACCUGGCCCAUUGAAUCAUCACUACAAUAACAACCUAAACAAAAUAACAAUACUGUCUGUUAAGCCCUGGGAUGUCAGAAAUGGUUGCACUCUUUGACUUUUUAUAUAAAAUGUAAUGUAUAAAUGCAUCUU